UUCAAUUAGCGCAUAGGAUUACCAUUACGUGUGGAAAGCUCAGGUUUGGCAGCUUAGCACGCCUCAGCAACUUUAAUUAUUGUCCACACCACUGCACUGUUACUGACCAGCUGACUGCAACUUUUUCCAUUGGGAGACUUGGACGAUGUCACUGAAUUCUUGGUCUCUGCUACUGCCAUCUUAUUAUGUUCUACUCUGGGGACACCUUUGACCAAUGACCAACAGUACCAUUCAGAUUCAAUGAUGAAGAGAAGAUCAGAAGGCUGGUGAACCAAAUUACACGGCAUCAAGUAAGAAUAAGAACUGUAUUUUGUUUAACAAAACUUCCUUUGCCUACCCUUUGCAGGGAAUCUAUCAUGAAAGGACUAAAGAGUGAUUUAACCCCUCUUUAUUAGUGUGCCUAACUGACUAGGUGCUGCAAGUUGUGUAUCGUUCUAUCUGCAUAUUCCAAGCUGCCCAAUGCAGGGUAGUGGAAUAUUUCCAAGAUGCAUAUUUCACUUUUUCUUUCGCAGCCGUCUGCUAGUUAUCACACCAAUCUCCAUUUGAAUUUCCAUGCAACUUGAACGCACCUGUUCCACUUUUCAACACUCAAUGCAUGUUUACCAGUUGAGUAUUAAACACGUACAAAGCGGUGACUCUCAAAGUCUUCUUGAGAUUCAAUUAAAAGGGAAGGGACAGCUAGCACAUAUGCUUGAAUCCUAAUGGCGGAGAUUGUCAGUUCUGCUGUUGUCCAUGAGACAGUUAGCCAAGUUCUAUCUGGUCUGGUUCAGAAAUAUGAGGAGAAAGAGGAAUCAAAUGCGAGCAGAAGAAGGAUUCAGCAGUGAUGACAGACACUGAUAAACCCAGCAUGUCAGUAGAGUUCAACAAAUGCAGUUACAGGUCCUAGGACUGAUCGGGGAAUGGAAAGCCAAUGUGCAGUAUGCUCUAAGUUAGGAAUUUAUGCUUGUGUAACACAUAGCUCUUGAUAGGGUUGUUAAUGUGUGUUUGAUUUGUAACACGUCAUUCUUGGUGUUUGAUAUGCUGGGUAUUACUACA